UUUUUCCUUUGUGCUGCCAUCUUUUAUUAUAAGCACCAUUGUAACCGUUAAAUUUCAAAUCUAAAGAUUAUCGGACUGUUGUUAUUUUUAUUUUGCUUUUCUUUCAAUUAAUGGAUAACAAUUAACUUGGCCCAAUCCAUGAUUGUUUUUGAUUAAAGCGGAUGUUGUAAAUCACUUAAAUCCUUCCGACCUGUUUACUGGUUUAUGUCUUUUUUUGGAUUAAAAGAAGCUUCCUAUUGAAAGAUAAUCUUUCUGUUGAAUAACAAGGAGAAAGUUCAGGUAAAAAAAGAUUGACGGAAUCAUCAUCAAUAUCAAAUCUUGUUAUACAAAUCAAAUCUUUUUAUUCUGGUUUUAUCAACUAUAAAGAUGGUUCUAAUGUUUGAUUUUGUGAGGAGGAUUUACUUCUUUUGAAAAAAAAGGAAAGUAAACGAAAGGAGCUAAAGAGGGAGGAAAGGAAAGCCAACAAAUCAAGACUAUCAACUCGUACAAUCAAAAGCUACAAAAGACUAAAUGAGUUAUAAUUUGGUGGAAAACAAAUGAAUUAAACCCCACAGUUAGUUGCCUGAAAAUGACAACCAUUGUUCAUUUUCUCCUCUAAGCUUUGAGCUCUCUUUAACGUUAUCAAAGCAGGGGGUAAAUAAUAAUAAUCGUCAUCAUCAUCAUCAUCAUCAAAGUUACUACACAUCUCGUUACCUCUCUGUGUUUCUAUUUCUUUCUACUCCCUUUCUCUCUCUCUCUCUACCUCUCUCUCUCCUUACCCGUUAUCAUCUUCAUCAUUGACAGUAUCAUCAUCAGUUGUACAGACUUACAGGUAUCAUUUUGAAAGAAAACCCUAUAAAAUAGUAGGAGUUAACUUGCUCACAUAAAUAACUUGUCAUCCUUAUUUGGGACUUUUUCCUUCUUUAUUUCAAAAGAAGUCAUCUUCAUCUACACGAUACUGAAACAAAACGUACUUAUAUUUUUUUAUUACAAAUUUAUUCUCGAGAAUAACUCUUACUUUUCAAGGCAACUACUUUUCCGUGUUAACUUGAAACUAACCACAAGAUCCUUACUCGGACCCGUGCAGAAACACGGAUCAUCAUCCAUGGCUUGAAUGAAACUAAGCGUAAUGUUAAUCCAACCAUUGGACACUUAAGAUCUUUUUCAAGAAUUAUAUUUAUAUAUAAUAUAUAUAUAUAAAAAUAACAUGUAAUCACGUGAAUACUAUCAUCAUCAUCAUCACCACCAAAGAAAGCAUCAUAACAAAAGAGCAAGUUAAGAGACAAUUAAGAGGAGGACCGCAGUGUUAAAAAUAUGUUUGCUGAAAUUAAGUGACUUGGGUGGAUUGAAGCAUCUCUUGUGACCAAUGAAAAGGCAAAAAAAGAUGAAUCUUUUUCCUCUCUCUCUCUCUCUUUCUGCUAACUGUAUUUAACUUAAAUAAGGCUUAAAUAAGCAUUUAAUACUGGAGCAAUGAAAGUGUCCUCAUUAUUAUUUGUGUUACCUUUUCUACGUCUACAACUUUUUUUUUCUUUCUUUUUUUUCAGUCUUCAGCCAUGAAGGAGUAGACAUUAUAAUUGGAUGAAAACCCACUUCACGUACAGUAUAUAAAAGGAUGCCAAUGUUAUAUCCAGGUUUAUUUGAGUUACCAUGGGCAUUAUUAUGUGAAUAUUUUGAAUGUCAAGAUGAUGAAAUUACUACAAGCCCAUCUCAUCAUUGCAAACUGAGUGAACAGUAUUACUAAAAUUGAUAUUAUGUCAUUGAUUAUAAAAGGAAUCAAGAACAAGAACAAAGUUUUUCUAAUAACGCUGCUGACAAUAACAGAUGAAAAAAAGGUGACAAGUGAGAUAAGGAAAAAA